rnacentral:lncRNA from 1 species
AAUGGGACUAAGCGCACAAAAACUGUGCAGCAGCCUUGCCUUUACCUGAAGAUAUUGCAGGAAAAUCUGAUUUCUCUGUUAAAAUAAGAAAAUGCUGAAGCAAGUGACAUGAAAAAGCACACAUUAUUGCAUAGACAUGAAAACAGGGAAGGAAAAUAUUAGCUCAUAUAGUGGAUCUUGUAGAGCUGUUUGCCAGUGGUUUCCUUCUCUUUUCUUGAGCACCUGACUCAUCUGUAAGUACAAAGUUGAUUACUGUCUUUAUAUGGACAAGCCUCAGAUCAAUCUCUCUGUUCCAGAUCCAUCUGCUUGUGUCCAAAUGAAAUCUCAGCCUGGCUGUCUUGCAUUUCCUCUUGAUGUGUCAUCCUCAGCUCCAGUUCAAGGAAGAAAAAACUCAGCUGUUCAUUCUUCAUCACAACACUUAGCUGUUAAUCAACAAUCUCUCCCUCUUUUGGAGCAGCUCUGCUGUUCUUUCUAGAAUACAGACAGUGGGUGGCUGAAUAGCAUUCUUAUGGGGAGGCUCCAGCUGACUUCCAUGGAAGCAAGACUAGGAUCAGUGUGACUUCCAUUCUGGAAGUUGGACCUUCCUAUUCACACAAAGGCCUCCAGUGCCACA